GCUGGGCGCAGUGGCGCGUGCCUGUAGUCCCAGCUACUCGGGAGGCUGAGGUGGGAGGAUCGCUUGAGCCCAGGAGUUCUGGGUUGCAGUGCGCUAUGCCGAUCGGGUGUCUGCACUAAGUUCAGCAUCAAUAUGGUGAUCUCCCAGGAGGGGGAGACCACCAGGAUGCUUAAGGAGGGGUGAACCAGCCCAGGUUGGAAACGGAGCAGGUCAAAACUUCCGUGCUGAUCAGUAGCGGGGUCGCGCAAGUGAACCACCACCUCGGCCCCCAAAGUGCUGGGAUUACAGGCUUGAGCCUCCA
rnacentral:SRP_RNA from 1 species